rnacentral:rRNA from 1 species
UACGAAGGGGGCGAGCGUUGUUCGGAUUUACUGGGCGUAAAGAGCGCGCAGGCGGUCGUUCAAGUCGCGUGUGAAAGCCCCCGGCUCAACUGGGGAGGGUCACGCGAUACUGAUCGACUCGAAGGCAGGAGAGGGAAGUGGAAUUCCCGGUGUAGUGGUGAAAUGCGUAGAUAUCGGGAGGAACACCAGUGGCGAAGGCGACUUCCUGGCCUGUUCUUGACGCUGAGGCGCGAAAAGCUAGGGGAGCAAACGGG